CCGCCAUUCUGUCUGUGGCUGCUGGCCUCUUUGAUCCGUGCGAGGUGUUCUGUGGUGUUAAUAUGGAGACGCACUGACUGUAAUAUUUGAUACUGAGAGACCAGGAUAUUCAUCUUUAUUAUGUGGGAGGCAAGGUGGUGAUGAUGUAAAUUACAGGUUUUCCAGUGUUUGUGUUUCAUGUCCGUUUUGUUGUCAUUUUACGUUCACCUUCACUGGGUGCUUGGUUGGGUUUAGGCACGAGAACUAGCUGGUUAUUUUUAGGAAAAAAUGGCCGUUUUGAUUAAAAUAUUCCCCUUAACAACGCUGCAACUUGAAAAAAAUGAUAUUAAUUGGACUCUUGUAAUUAAGAGUCCAUAUAGCAACACUCAUCUCACUAUUAGCCGGUGCGUCUCAGUACUAACGUCCUACAUUCAAAAUGUGCAUCUCAGACAAAAUUACUGUAUUUGAUGCCCUGGGAAUAAGAUUGCUCCAAUUCAAAUUCUGAAUAUGUUUUAAUCUUUUAGGUUUUAAAUGCUUCCUGAUGGGUCAAUGAAACCUCAUAGAUUAGGUAUACAAGAACCUUGAGGAAGUCUCAUCCCCAUAUAGCAUGUUACUGAUGUGGACAGACCUUCAGCACCAUAAAACAAAAUCACACCAGUUUUUUUCCAACAGUGUAAGCUUUUUUAGGUGGAUUUUCCCUUUAAAUCAUAGACUUAAUUCAAAACACAAACAGACAUAUGUCUGGCUUUUAGGUUCCCUGUGUGGCAGAUUGAAUCCUUUGUCACAUGGGACCAAGUUUUGUUGAGUUCACUAACAUAAUAUUUUUAUUAUGAUUUGUUUUUUCGUAGUGGUGAUACUUUUACAGUGGAGAAUAAUUCUCAAGCCAAAUCUUUUCUUUCUUUCUUUCUUUUUUUUUUUUUAAACUGUAGUUCUCAGGUCUUUAGGGGUCUAUCAACUAUGUGCUUAUUUUGUUCCUCUGCUUUGUAUAAACCCACAGUAGCUAUGGAUACAUUUAAAGCUAUGAAAAAAGUGAAUGUAUUCAAGAGCUAUUUUCUUUUUAUUUCACAUUGCUUGAUAUGGAAUUUGAGAAAUAUGCUGAAAUCUAUGUGUAACGCAACGGGCAAACAGAUCCAGUUGUCCCACUCUCUUUGCCCUUAUGUUUACAGGUUAGAUUUGCAGCUGCUGUUAGCAGAGUAAUGAUGGCGAAAAGAAAUUAGACAAUCCAUGAUUGGGAAUAGUGAGUGCUGUCAAUCAAGAGUAGAAAAAUAAGCAUGCUUCAUGUUUUGCACAGCAUGGUGUUGAUGCACACUCUCAAAAAAAUGUCCAUCUUAACACUGAAACAUAUAUUUCUGUUAACAUAGCACAGUUGUUCUUUCAAGUACCACACAAUCAUUAAUUUAGGGGAAAAUAAAGUGAUAAGAAUAUUUGUCUCUAACAUUGGCAUCAAUGAAUUAGCAUCAGAAAUAUGACUGAAAUAUCCAGUUUAUUUAUCUUAUUUCAAUAUUUUAAUUUCCAAAGCUGUGUUAUUGUAAACCAGGGCUAAGUGACGAUGAGAAAAGAAAUACUCUGUAUAGAUAAACCUAAAUUAUGAUGUAGUAAUAGAACAUAUUUGCAGUGUAGGAAACUCCCAGCAUCAAGAUGAAGUUUCUGAAUUAUAUUGAACUUUAAACACAGACGGGCUUCUAUUGAGUCACUGAUGUUCUUUUUAUUUUGAGACACAUUUCUUGUUAAAAUGGACAUUUUUGAAGUAUCCGUGUGCUCACAGGACUAUCAUUGGGUUUCUGCGAAAGUUUGGAUGUGAGAGAAAAAUGUUUGAAUUUACUAAGUGCUUACACUAGAUAUCCUGUAUGCUAACCCUGGAUGGAUCAGAUACAGCGGUAACUGGUUUGAACUGUGAUGCUCCAAAGUUGGGCACUGAUGGAGCCACUGAAGAGUAGGUUUAUAUGAUGUGAUGGAAAGAAAGUGUAUAAAUUGUGAAUAAAGUUUUAAAAUCCAAA
ensembl:lncRNA